ACGAUGAUCCCUAGCUUGCUGGGGGGAUUAGUGGCGAACGGGUGAGUAACACGUGAGUAACCUGCCCUUGACUCUGGGAUAAGCCUGGGAAACUGGGUCUAAUACCGGAUAUGACUCCUCAUCGCAUGGUGGGGGGUGGAAAGCUUUUGUGGUUUUGGAUGGACUCGCGGCCUAUCAGCUUGUUGGUGGGGUAAUGGCCUACCAAGGCGACGACGGGUAGCCGGCCUGAGAGGGUGACCGGCCACACUGGGACUGAGACACGGCCCAGACUCCUACGGGAGGCAGCAGUGGGGAAUAUUGCACAAUGGGCGCAAGCCUGAUGCAGCGACGCCGCGUGAGGGAUGACGGCCUUCGGGUUGUAAACCUCUUUCAGUAGGGAAGAAGCCUUUCGGGGUGACGGUACUUGCAGAAGAAGCGCCGGCUAACUACGUGCCAGCAGCCGCGGUAAUACGUAGGGCGCAAGCGUUAUCCGGAAUUAUUGGGCGUAAAGAGCUCGUAGGCGGUUUGUCGCGUCUGCUGUGAAAGACCGGGGCUCAACUCCGGUUCUGCAGUGGGUACGGGCAGACUAGAGUGCAGUAGGGGAGACUGGAAUUCCUGGUGUAGCGGUGAAAUGCGCAGAUAUCAGGAGGAACACCGAUGGCGAAGGCAGGUCUCUGGGCUGUAACUGACGCUGAGGAGCGAAAGCAUGGGGAGCGAACAGGAUUAGAUACCCUGGUAGUCCAUGCCGUAAACGUUGGGCACUAGGUGUGGGGGACAUUCCACGUUUUCCGCGCCGUAGCUAACGCAUUAAGUGCCCCGCCUGGGGAGUACGGCCGCAAGGCUAAAACUCAAAGGAAUUGACGGGGGCCCGCACAAGCGGCGGAGCAUGCGGAUUAAUUCGAUGCAACGCGAAGAACCUUACCAAGGCUUGACAUGGACCGGAAAGACCUGGAAACAGGUGCCCCGCUUGCGGCCGGUUUACAGGUGGUGCAUGGUUGUCGUCAGCUCGUGUCGUGAGAUGUUGGGUUAAGUCCCGCAACGAGCGCAACCCUCGUUCUAUGUUGCCAGCGGUUCGGCCGGGGACUCAUAGGAGACUGCCGGGGUCAACUCGGAGGAAGGUGGGGACGACGUCAAAUCAUCAUGCCCCUUAUGUCUUGGGCUUCACGCAUGCUACAAUGGCCGGUACAAAGGGUUGCGAUACUGUGAGGUGGAGCUAAUCCCAAAAAGCCGGUCUCAGUUCGGAUUGGGGUCUGCAACUCGACCCCAUGAAGUCGGAGUCGCUAGUAAUCGCAGAUCAGCAACGCUGCGGUGAAUACGUUCCCGGGCCUUGUACACACCGCCCGUCAAGUCACGAAAGUUGGUAACACCCGAAGCC
rnacentral:rRNA from 1 species